rnacentral:rRNA from 1 species
UACGAAGGGGGCUAGCGUUGCUCGGAAUCACUGGGCGUAAAGCGCACGUAGGCGGCUUCUUAAGUCAGGGGUGAAAUCCUGGAGCUCAACUCCAGAACUGCCUUCGAUACUGGCGAUCUCGAGUUCGGGAGAGGUGAGUGGAACUGCGAGUGUAGAGGUGAAAUUCGUAGAUAUUCGCAGGAACACCAGUGGCGAAGGCGGCUUACUGGUCCAUAACUGACGCUGAGGUGCGAAAGCGUGGGGAGCAAACAGG